CAAACAGCUGGGGUGUCUUAUAUCCCGUAUUCACUUCAGGACAGUGUAAUUACAGUGGAUUUAGGAGAGAAAAUAAUAUUCACUGGGAAGAUUCAUUAUGCUGGGAGUCUACCUGUGCGAGUCACCAAGCAAGGACACUCACUGUGUCGGCGGUUUGCUUUCCAGCUCUGUCUGCCCCCUCUAUGCAGAGGUCUUCCUGUGACAUCGGUAAUUAGUCUGUGUGUGGCCAUAAUGAGGGAGAAGCUUCGUGUCACCGCGGGGUUCGGCAG